GGGGAGAGGGAACUGCUACUGGCAGAAGUAACCAAGCUGCGAGAUCAGGGACUAGCAGAGACCACGCAAGUAUAUUGCUGAUUUCUCUUAUUUGUGAUUGGUAGCUGGUAUUAAACCCCAGAGGAGCUCAGGAAAUAUAUUCAGAUUAAGGAAGGGGGGCGGGGAGAGUAGCUAAUAUGCCCUGGCUUUCACGCAAAAGUCUUUCGACUCUCAUGCUCAGUGGUGCUUAGAGCUUCUCUCCAAUAGGGUAGGGUAUUGGUGUCCUGUUAUAAGUGUAAAUAACGUACUAGUCCCCCUUUUUUUGACUAUAAGAAAUCCACACUUUGACACCUAAGAUUAGCAUUUUUCUUCCUCGCCACCUUCAAGGGAAAGGGAAGACGCAGAUGUUUUCAUGAAAAAUAAGCUCUGUGAAUUAAAGUUUGUUGUUUUAUUCACAAUUGCUGCAAUUCAUGGACGGAAACUCUGAACAGCCCAACCAUUUUAGUUCAGGUAUCCAACCUCAGGUUGGUCAUGUUCAUCAAAACAUUAUUACUAUUGUAGAUGGUUCUCAGUGACAACAUAUUUAGUCUUACUUUCUCUAAGGCGCUUGAAUUUACACCUACUUAGAGCGAAAUAUCUUCUCAUUCUUCUCCUUGCAUCUUCGCAUGGUUCUUGACUUUUAACCUUGAAAUUUCUUUCUUUGAUACCGGAAGCCAUUCAAGCAGGCAAAGAAAAUGCUACACUCCAAUUAGAGGUUUCUUUAUUCUUCAACUUUCUAACUUUUCUUUCUAGAUAUAGUCCUUGUAUUUAUCUCCUAUUUUGCAUUGUUAUUAGUUGAGGAACACGUCAAAAGAACUAGAGGAAUGCAGACAAAAUCUAACCUCUUGCAAUGCUAAGCUUAGCAGAGAAAUUCAUCAUCUAAGUUGCAAGUUAGAUAGUCUCAAUUCCCAAGACAACAAUGGAGAUGGCAAUGCCAAUGAGAGAAUUCUCUGCCCAAAGCACGAGAAUUUUACAAAACUCCGUAGUUUGUAUCUGCAUCAAUGGCAUCUCCUAGCGGGACAUAUUCA